GGGGAGGAGGGUGGGGCUGAGGUGUCAGGAGGCAGACAGACUGGACUCCGGGGUGGGGAGGCAUCCCGGAAAGAGGAGAGAUGAGGGCCCAGGAUGACCCCAGGGCUUGAGCGGAGGGAGACAGCCGCCAGGACUCGGAGGCAGGAAGUCGAGGCUGGGGCUUGGACGUGUGACACCAGCCCCUCCAUCCAGACGGCAGGGGGAGGGGAGCAGCCAGGACAGGAACGGAGGACACUUGGCAUCAGCCCAUUAAACAGGUGGGGUGGCUCACCAGCAGGGCGUGGGGCCCACGGGCUCAGGUUGACGUGAAUCUGGAGGUCCCCCAUCCUGGCUGAAAAUGUUCGUGCCCCCUGGAGAGAUGUCGGUCCACGCUUGGCAGGCUUGGCGUGGUGCUCGCCUGGACGCCUCCUGGGCUGUGGCACUGAAAUCAGGGCCCCUGGGACCCGAUCUAGACAGUGACAGCCCCAAGGCCCCAGCUCACGUUCCACGAGGAAGAGUGACCACCCACGUGGCAUCAGUCGGGACCGACUCCACGGAAAGGGGACGGGGACCUUUCCUAAUCAAGGCCUGUCGUUAAGUACGCGGUGGUUCCGUCUAGAAGAUGCACAGCGUCGCCCAGCCCCCAUCCCUCACCGGGAAGAGUAAUCAGAAUGCAAGGUCAUCUCCAUAUAAUGCAUUAUGACUUUAAUAUCAGUAAACGCCCCUUAAAUAUUAGAUGCAGAGAGGAAAUAUUAGUGAAAUUAUCGCAGACUAAUAUGAUCAGUUUCCUCUAGGAUAAAAGGUGAUAAAUGUAUUUUAAUAAACUCAAGAGAAUUAUAUGUGUCAUAUUCGUGGUUCCUGUCAAUUUUAUUUAGAGUGAAAUGCCAUU